GAUGAAGAACGUAGCGAAAUGCGAUACGUAAUGUGAAUUGCAGAAUUCAGUGAAUCAUCGAGUCUUUGAACGCACAUUGCGCCCCCUGGUAUUCCGAAGGGCAUGCCUGUUCGAGCGUCAUUAUCACCCCUCAAGCCCUCGGCUUGGUGUUGGACGGUUUGGUGGAGGCCCCCUCGGGGGCUCCUGCCCCUCCCAAAGACAAUGACGGCGGCCUCGUUGGACCCCCGGUACACUGAGUUCUUCACGGGACACGUAUCGGACACAUGGGUUUACGGGACACGGUCUGCCUCCCCUCAGGGAGAAUCUUUCUAAGGUUGACCUCGGAUCAGGUAGGGAUACCCGCUGAACUUAAGCAUAUCAAUAAGCGGAGGA
rnacentral:misc_RNA from 1 species